UGUAGCUCAGUUGGUAGAGCAUGGUGCUAGCAAUGCCAGGGUUGUGGGUUCGAUUCCCAGGACCA
rnacentral:tRNA from 1 species